GCGAUGUGAUGCUAAUCUCCAAACCAUGUCUCAGUUCGGAUCGGAGUCUGCAACUCGACNCCGUGAAGCUGGAUUCGCUAGUAAUCGCGCAUCAGCCACGGCGCGGUGAAUACGUCCCCGGGCCUUGUACACACCGCCCGUCAAGCCAUGGAAGCCGGGAGUGCCUGAAGUGCGUGAGCGCAAGCAGCGCCCUAAGGUAAAACCGGUGACUGGGGCUAAGUCGUAACAAGGUAAC
rnacentral:rRNA from 1 species